UNGUGGUCACUGUACACGUGGGGCUCGGC
rnacentral:piRNA from 1 species